rnacentral:misc_RNA from 1 species
UUCCGGUGCCUGAUCCGAUUCCACGUCCACAGCCAAUGCCGGACCCACCACCAGAUGAAGAACCGAUUAAAU